UUUAUCUUGGAGAAAUUGAAUGAAAUUUUGAGAUUGGAUGCAUGUACAAAGUGUUCUUGAUAACAAAAGGGGCACCUCUAAGUGGCAGCAGUAAAAUUUACAGUGAGUCUCCAGAGUCAAACAACAUAGACAACAGAAGUAAUUCCUAUGUUAGUUUGAUGCAUAAGUAUUGACACAACUAAUGGAGGAUUAAAGCACACAAUACAUAGCUAUUUGUGAGUUUGAACAAAGGUUAUGCAUCACAAUUCCAUAUGAUUCUGUGCGAGUGAGUGAAGAGAUUUUAUUGUAGAAGUUGACAUAUUGAUAUUUGUAUUUGCUGAAAUGUUGGAUCUGAGAGUAUUCAUUGAUUCUUUUGGUAUGAAUGUUUAUUUCCAUUUUAAAAAUUGAUCCCAUACACACUCUUGUAAUUUUGUUAAAAUAAUAAAAAAAAAAAAAUGACUUC
rnacentral:misc_RNA from 1 species